AGGGGAAUUGUGAGGAUUAUAAGGAUGUGUACAUGAGUGACGUGGGGCUGAGGCGAGGAUCGAAGUGCUUGACAGGUACAGAGCCAAGGGCAUAAAUUGAUGCAAGACUGCAAGGCAGAUGGGGGAAAUGAGGACUAAGGCAGGAAAGGUGAAAUGCCCAUGGGAGGACUUCAGAAUUUAAAGCACUUGUCCAAAGCCACAUUUUGAGCUUGCCCGGUGAAGGUGCACAGAAAGCACCCGAACAGGGUCUGGUUGCAGGAGUUGGCUUGUUUCAGCGGGAGCCAGAGACAAGAACCUCGUUCUGGUGGAGCACCAAGACGUACUUCCUCGCCCAGCGCCCCGGGGGGGCCCACCCCUCAUCCCAGUGGAGUCCGGCCUUUGGAAAUGCCCGAUCAAAGCAGUUCCUGAUAACCAAGGGGAGGACGGGAAAGCGAAUGAAAGCGAAUGGACUCUGUGGUGUAAGAUGAUUCCCGAAUACAAGCCCGAACACUGAUUUUCAUUGGCUCGGCGAUCCAGUAAUGCACACCUCUUCCUUGCCCCAGCACACGCAAUCUGCACCAACAGAGCCACGGUUGGCUGUUACCUCUGAUUCGAACGACUCGCACUUCCAAGCAAGAACUGUAUGAUCUGGGUCUUGAGAUGCAUUUGAAGGAAUGAAUACCUGUGGAAGAAGAAUAAGGACUUCCCUGUAAGGAUUUCAAAGUCAGUAAGGACCCGUGUGAACCUCCAGAAGACUGGGAGGAGACCGCAAAACACAGAUCGUCACACGGAAGCAGCAUUUCACUGCAGACCUCCUGCCACCGGGGACUGACCUCAUUGCUGAAAAAAAACUGUCCUGCUGCACUUCCUUACUUUCUCUGCAAAGAAACUCACCAUUCAGGAGCAGGGAAGAUGCUCUCUGGCUCGGGGAGCUGAGGAAUGCCCAUCCCAGGGGCUGGGAUCUCUGGUCCAGAUGAAAUUAGAAGAAAGUAGCCUUGCUCAGCAUCCCCAGGUGAGGUGCUAAUUUUACAGUAAUGGACUUAAACACCAGAUCAGCCCGGGUAAGGAGGCGUCUUUGUUCCUGGCUCAGACAAAGCCCAGCAGUUGGCCUUAAAAAUGGGGG